AGCCCUUAAUGGGCUCUCUUUCUGCGUGUUAAUAGCUUUUCUCUUGGCCUGGGAAAGCGGUUAGUGAAUC
rnacentral:ncRNA from 1 species